rnacentral:rRNA from 1 species
CGUGUAGGCGGUUUUCCAAGUCGGAUGUGAAAGCCCGGGGCUCAACCUCGGAAGUGCAUUCGAUACUGGGAGACUGGAGUCUCGGAGAGGAUGGUGGAACUCUCGGUGUAGAGGUGAAAUUCGUAGAUAUCGAGAAGAACACCGGCGGCGAAGGCGGCCAUCUGGACGAAGACUGACGCUGAGACGCGAAAGCGUGGGGAGCAAACAGGAUUAGAUACCCUGGUAGUCCACGCUGUAAACGAUGGGUGCUAGGUGUCGGGGGUAUUGACCCCUCCGGUGCCGCAGCCAACGCAUUAAGCACCCCGCCUGGGAAGUACGGCCGCAAGGCUAAA